CAAAAAAAAAUAUUCAAGUUAUUGAAAAAAUUCGAACAUUUUUAUUUUAAAUCAAAUUAAAAAAUUUUGUAAAGAAAAAAACAAAAUCAACAAUUAGUAUAAAAAGUUCGUCAUGAAGUUUCCUCAAAAAUUGUGGAAUAUUGUUAAUGAUAAUUCGAGUGAUGCUGUUAAAUGGAGUCCAAAUGGCAAAACGAUUCUCGUCAAUUAUCAAACAUUAAAAACAGAAUAUUUAUUUACGACCAAUUCAAUUUUUAAGACACGAAAUAUCGACAGUUUUAUUCGACAAUUAAAUUUAUAUGGAUUUAAGAAAGUGACAUCAUUUUUUCGUGACAAUGAUUCCGAUAAUAAUUUACAGCGUACCCAAGUACACGAAUAUUUACACGAUUAUUUUCAAGCUAAUCGAAAAGAACUUAUUCAACACGUUUGUCGUAAAUCGACCCCAAAGUCACAUGAAUCACCGAAAAGAAAAUUUUACGUCCACGAGAUAAAUAAAAAAAAAGUAAUCAAAAAAAGUGCACAUAAAUCAAGCCUUCAAGAAUGCCAGUCUGCCCUAACGAAAGCAUUAGAACAAGCAGUUUGUGAUUAUAGAAGAGAAAAACAAUUAAAAGAUAUACAAGAAAUGGAGAAAUUUUCUUUCCAAUGUGCCCUCACUCCUAAAGAAACAGGUGGAAGAAAGCAAAGAGAAUCAGAGCAAGAAGUUGUUGAACCGACAAUUCUAACGAAUGAAGAGAAUAUAAUUUACCCAAUUUCGCACGAUUGUUCUACUAUUCUUAUUCCCAUAAACGAAAAUGUUAAUUUUCAACUAUCUCUCCUGAAUAUUUUAUAAAGUGUUCAUGAUAAAAAAUUUUUAUCUAAUUACGAAAUUUUAAUCUGUGUAAAAUUUCUCUUGUUGAAAAAAAUAGAACAGGAGGGACUUACAUUUUGUUGAUUUGCUCGUCGAUGAAAUUCUGGAUCUUCUGCCUUUCUGCAAUCUCUUUCUUGCACUGAUCCUUCCAGUGAAUUAUAUCCACAACGAUCGUUUUAGUGAUACUUUUGGCGAUCCUUCCAUGACUGAUUUCUGUAAAAGAAAGAAAAGUUAAAUAUUUAAUAAAUUAAAAAUCCUUCAAUUCUAAA